GAUGAACGCUAGCGGCAGGCCUAACACAUGCAAGUCGAGGGAGGAGCCUUCGGGCUUCGACCGGCGUACGGGUGCGUAACGCGUAUACAAUCUGCCUUUCACAUAGGGAUAGCCCGAAGAAAUUUGGAUUAAUACCUAAUGGUAUAUAGAUGUGGCAUCACCUUUAUAUUAAAGCUGAGGCGGUGAAAGAUGAGUAUGGGUUCUAUUAGCUAGUUGGAGAGGUAACGGCUCCCCAAGGCGACGAUAGAUAGGGGUUCUGAGAGGGAUAUCCCCCACACUGGUACUGAGAUACAGACCAGACUCCUACGGGAGGCAGCAGUGAGGAGUAUUGGACAAUGGUCGGAAGACUGAUCCAGCCAUGCCGCGUGCAGGAAGACGGCCUUAGGGGUUGUAAACUGCUUUUGCAGGGGAAGAAUAAGGACUACGCGUAGUUUGAUGACGGUACUCUGCGAAUAAGCAUCGGCUAACUCCGUG
rnacentral:rRNA from 1 species